GCCACCUUAGCUCAGUUGGUAGAGCACCCGCCUUGUAAGCGGGCGGUCGUCGGUUCGAGUCCGACAGGUGGCU
rnacentral:tRNA from 1 species